CCCUUAGAUGUUCUGGGCCGCACGCGCGCUACACUGACAGGUUCAUCGAGCUUACAACCUUGAUCGAGAGGUCUGGGUAAACUUUUAAAAGCCUGUCGUGCUGGGGAUAGAUUAUUGUAAUUUUUAAUCUUCAACGAGGAAUUCCUAGUAAACGCAAGUCAUCAACUUGCAUUGAUUACGUCCCUGCCCUUUGUACACACCGCCCGUCGCUACUACCGAUUGAAUGGUUUAGUGAGGACUCCUGAUUGGCGCCGCCGCCCCGGCAACGGAGCAGCGGACUGCCGAAAAGUUGUUCAAACUUGAUCAUUUAGAGGAAGUAAAAGUCGUAACA
rnacentral:rRNA from 1 species